AAUUCGAUUGAGUUUGAUCAUGGCUCAGAAUCAACGCUGGCGGCGUGCCUAACACAUGCAAGUCGAACGCGAAAGUGGAGCAAUCCAUCAGUAGAGUGGCAAACGGGUGAGUAACACGUGGGUGACCUGCCUUCGAGCGGGGGAUAACGUCCCGAAAGGGACGCUAAUACCGCAUAACAUCCUGCCUUUUAAGAGGUGGAGAUCAAAGCCGGGGAUCGCAAGACCUGGCACUUGAAGAGGGGCCCGCGCCUGAUUAGCUAGUUGGUGGGGUAAUGGCUCACCAAGGCAACGAUCAGUAUCCGGCCUGAGAGGGCGGACGGACACACUGGGACUGAGACACGGCCCAGACUCCUACGGGAGGCAGCAGUGGGGAAUUGUUCGCAAUGGGCGCAAGCCUGACGACGCAACGCCGCGUGGAGGAUGAAGACCUUCGGGUCGUAAACUCCUUUCGAUCGAGACGAAUGGUUUCCGGGUGAAUAAUCCGGAAAAGUGACGGUACCGAGAGAAGAAGCCCCGGCUAACUCCGUGCCAGCAGCCGCGGUAAUACGGGGGGGGCAAGCGUUGUUCGGAAUUACUGGGCGUAAAGGGCUCGUAGGUGGCCAACUAAGUCGGACGUGAAAUCCCUCAGCUUAACUGGGGAACUGCGUCCGAUACUGGAUGGCUUGAGUUUGGGAGAGGGA
rnacentral:rRNA from 1 species